CCUACGGGUGUCAGCAGUGGGGAAUAUUGGGCAAUGGGCGCACGCCUGACCCAGCAACGCCGCGUGAAGGAAGAAGGCUUUCGGGUUGUAAACUUCUUUUCUGAGGGACGAAGAAAGUGACGGUACCUCAGGAAUAAGCCACGGCUAACUACGUGCCAGCAGCCGCGGUAAUACGUAGGUGGCAAGCGUUAUCCGGAUUGAUUGGGUGUAAAGGGCGUGUAGGCGGGAAAGCAAGUCAGAUGUGAAAACUCAGGGCUCAACCCUGAGCCUGCAUUUGAAACUGUUUUUCUUGAGUGCUGGAGAGGCAAGCGGAAUUCCGGGUGUAGCGGUGAAAUGCGUAGAUAUACGGAGGAACACCAGUGGCGAAGGCGGAUUGCUGGACAGUAACUGACGCCGAGGCGCGAAAGCGUGGGGAGCAAACAGGAUUAGAUACCCUGGUAGUC
rnacentral:rRNA from 1 species